GAGGGACCUAGGGCUUCUCCACUCUCUCCAGAUGGACAACCUGUGGCUCAGCAGGCACGAAGUGGAAGCUAGAACAUUCCAGCUUCUAGAGGGAGGCAGGAGGCGGCACACAACCAACGGGACAGUAUCAGACACAAAUUCAGAGAAGGGAAUGAGUGUGAAGAGCACUGACUGGCGAGAACAGCACGAUCAAAGAAAGCCUCGCUGAUGACUUCGUGUUUGAACAGACACCUGUCGGGUCGAGGCUCCCAGGCGGGGGAGGGGCACCCAGAGCCAGGAAGUGGCCAAAAACAAGAAUCACCUCAUCUGGAUUCCUCCAACAAACUGAGUUCUACCUCACUUAGAAGGUCCUGCUGGCUUCCAGAACAUCCUCUCAGCCAGUCUGAACAAUGCCAUGCCUGUCGGUUGCUGCCACUCGGCUCCAACCCAUCUCUACCUUUUUUGUCACUAUGUAGACCAAGCUGGCCUUGAACUCAUGGAGACCCUCCUGUCUCUGUCUCUGAAGUGCUGUGAUUAAAGGC